rnacentral:rRNA from 1 species
GACGAACGCUGGCGGCGUGCUUAACACAUGCAAGUCGAACGGAAAGGCCCUGCUUUUGUGGGGUGCUCGAGUGGCGAACGGGUGAGUAACACGUGAGUAACCUGCCCUUGACUUUGGGAUAACUUCAGGAAACUGGGGCUAAUACCGGAUAGGAGCUCCUGCUGCAUGGUGGGGGUUGGAAAGUUUCGGCGGUUGGGGAUGGACUCGCGGCUUAUCAGCUUGUUGGUGGGGUAGUGGCUUACCAAGGCUUUGACGGGUAGCCGGCCUGAGAGGGUGACCGGCGACAUUGGGACUGAGAUACGGCCCAGUCUGCUACGGGAGGCAGUAGUGGCGAAUAUGACACAAUGGGCGGGAGCCUGAUGCAGCAACGCCGCGUGCGGGAUGACGUCCUUCGGGUUGUAAACCGCUUUCGCCUGUGACGAAGCGUGAGUGACGGUAAUGGGUAAAGAAGCACCGGCUAACUACGUG